ACGGGAGGCAGCAGUGAGGAAUAUUGGUCAAUGGACGGAAGUCUGAACCAGCCAAGUCGCGUGCGGGAGGAAGGCCCUACGGGUCGUAAACCGCUUUUGUACGGGGAUAAAGUCACCCACGUGUGGGUGUUUGUAGGUACCGUAAGAAUAAGGAUCGGCUAACUCCGUGCCAGCAGCCGCGGUAAUACGGAGGAUCCGAGUGUUAUCCGGAUUUAUUGGGUUUAAAGGGUGCGUAGGCGGAGGAUCAAGUCAGUGGUGAAAUGGUGCGGCUCAACCGUAGCAUUGCCGUUGAAACUGGUUUUCUAGAGUGCGAAUGAGGUGGGCGGAAUGUGUCAUGUAGCGGUGAAAUGCAUAGAUAUGACACAGAACACCGAUUGCGAAGGCAGCUCACUGGGACGCAACUGACGCUGAGGCACGAAAGUGCGGGGAUCGAACAGGAUUAGAUACCCUGGUA
rnacentral:rRNA from 1 species